rnacentral:lncRNA from 1 species
ACAAUGGGGGCCCAAGGUGAGAUGAAGCUGUAAUCUCACUGGAAGGACUAGAGGUUAGAGGAGACCCCCCCGAAAUAAAAAACAGCAUAUUGA